GCUACGGGAGGCAGCAGUGAGGAAUAUUGGUCAAUGGACGAGAGUCUGAACCAGCCAAGUAGCGUGAAGGAUGACGGCCCUAUGGGUUGUAAACUUCUUUUAUAAAGGAAUAAAACGAGGCACGUGUGCCUUUUUGCAUGUACUUUAUGAAUAAGGAUCGGCUAACUCCGUGCCAGCAGCCGCGGUAAUACGGAGGAUCCGAGCGUUAUCCGGAUUUAUUGGGUUUAAAGGGAGCGUAGAUGGGUUGUUAAGUCAGUUGUGAAAGUUUGCGGCUCAACCGUAAACUUGCAUUUGAUACUGGCAGUCUUGAGUACAGUUGAGGUAGGCGGAAUUCGUGGUGUAGCGGUGAAAUGCUUAGAUAUCACGAAGAACCCCGAUUGCGAAGGCAGCUUACUAAACUGUGACUGACAUUGAUGCUCGAAAGUGUGGGUAUCAAACAGGAUUAGAUACCCGAGUAGUC
rnacentral:rRNA from 1 species